UACGUAGGGAGCAAGCGUUGUUCGGAUUUACUGGGCGUAAAGGGCGCGUAGGCGGCGCGGUAAGUCACUUGUGAAAUCUCUGAGCUUAACUCAGAACGGCCAAGUGAUACUGCAGUGCUAGAGUGCAGAAGGGGCAAUCGGAAUUCUCGGUGUAGCGGUGAAAUGCGUAGAUAUCGAGAGGAACACCUGAGGUGAAGACGGGUUGCUGGGCCGACACUGACGCUCAGGCACGAAAGCUAGGGGAGCGAACAGG
rnacentral:rRNA from 1 species